UCUAAUGAACCUGACCAGGUUAUUUGGACCUUGGGAAAAAAGAAGAAAUUUACCACUAAAUCUGUUUAUGAGUACUUGGAGAGAAACGUAGCUGGAUGUAAUUACAAGUCGAUUUGGAGAGUGAAAAUUCCUCUAAAAAUUCAGAUUUUCCUUUGGAAGUUAUUCCAGGAUUCUGUUUUGACUAGAGAUGUCAUGAGCAGACGUGGAUGAUUGGGAAGACCUUCCCGUUCCUUUUGUGAGGAAAGAGAAACAUCUCAGCAUCUUUUCUUUACCUGUCCCGUGGCUAGAGUCUUAUGGAGGACUAUGGGAUGUGUCCUGGGCACGGAUCGGUGCCCCACAAAUAUUUGGGAAUACUUCUCUUGGUGUUAUACAUUCCUCCCAGAUGGGGAGAAGUUCUAUACCUUUGGCUUAGUUGCUCUAUGUUGGGCGAUGUGGAAUAGGCAUAACAGAAAAACCUUUGAGUUCAAAAAUAUGAGAUCCCCUUUUGAUGUGGUCUACUCUGCAUGUGGCUAUGUUACUUAUUGGGCAGGGUUGCUGAAGGGAGACGACCGGGAGGCAGUGGAGCAUGGAUCCAAGAUGCUGAGGAUCAAUGCCUCGAACAUGAUGAGAAUCUGCGCGGCACCAGGUGAAUCGAUGAAGAGCUGA
rnacentral:rRNA from 1 species